rnacentral:rRNA from 1 species
UACGAAGGGUGCAAGCGUUACUCGGAAUUACUGGGCGUAAAGCGUGCGUAGGCGGUUUGUUAAGUCCGUUGUGAAAGCCCUGGGCUCAACCUGGGAAUUGCAGUGGAUACUGGCGAGCUAGAGUGCGGUAGAGGAUGGUGGAAUUCCCGGUGUAGCGGUGAAAUGCGUAGAGAUCGGGAGGAACACCCGUGGCGAAGGCGGCCAUCUGGACCAGCACUGACGCUGAGGCACGAAGGCUAGGGUAGCAAACAGG